UCGUGCUAGAUGGGGAGGUAGCGGUGCCCUGUAACCCGCAAUCCGCUAUAGCGGGGUCGAAUUCCUGCCAGAGGGUAGGCCUUGUGGGGCUGCCCAGGGUAAGUGGUGAAGACGUCUGGGUCCCAUGCAGCGGGAAGCCAUGAACCCCGUCAGGUCCGGAAGGAAGCAGCGGUAAGUGGUGAUUCCCGGGUGCCGUGGGGGUGCCUGGAUCGAGCUAACUGCCCUGGUUCCGCCUGGAAGGUCGUACUCGAAGGCAGGUGCACGA
rnacentral:SRP_RNA from 2 species